UACAGAGGGUGCGAGCGUUGUCCGGAAUCACUGGGCGUAAAGGGCGCGUAGGCGGCCUGGUAAGCGUGCGGUGAAAGCCCCGGGGCUCAACCCCGGGUCGGCCGUGCGAACUGCGAGGCUGGAGCACUGUAGAGGCAGGUGGAAUUCCGGGUGUAGCGGUGGAAUGCGUAGAGAUCCGGAAGAACACCGGUGGCGAAGGCGGCCUGCGUGGGC
rnacentral:rRNA from 1 species